rnacentral:rRNA from 1 species
ACUGGGCGUAAAGCGCACGCAGGCGGUUGGAUAAGUUAGAUGUGAAAGCCCCGGGCUCAACCUGGGAAUUGCAUUUAAAACUGUCCAGCUAGAGUCUUGUAGAGGGGGGUAGAAUUCCAGGUGUAGCGGUGAAAUGCGUAGAGAUCUGGAGGAAUACCGGUGGCGAAGGCGGCCCCCUGGACAAAGACUGACGCUCAGGUGCGAAAGCGUGGGGAGCAAACAGGAUUAGAUACCCUGGUAGUCCACGCUGUAAACGAUGUCGACUUGGAGGUUGUGCCCUUGAGGCGUGGCUUCCGGAGCUAACGCGUUAAAUCGACCGCCUGGGGAGUACGGCCGCAAGGUUAAAACUCAAAUGAAUUGACGGGGGCCCGCACAAGCGGUAAUCGAA